rnacentral:rRNA from 1 species
GACGAACGCUGGCGGCGUGCUUAACACAUGCAAGUCGAACGGAAAGGCCCUGCUUUUGUGGGGUGCUCGAGUGGCGCACGGGUGAGUAACACGUGAGUAACCUGCCCUUGAAUUUGUGAUAACUUCAGGAAACUGGGGAUAAUACCGGAUAGGAGCUCCUGCUGCAUGGCGGGGGAUGGAAAGUUUCGGCGGUUGGGGAUGGACUCGCGGCUUAUCAGCUUGUUGGUGGGGUAGUGGCUUACCAAGGCUUUGACGGGUAGCCGGCCUGAGAGGGUGACCGGCCACAUUGGGACUGAGAUACGGCCCAGACUCCUACGGGAGGCAGCAGUGGGGAAUAUUGCACAAUGGGCGGAAGCCUGAUGCAGCAACGCCGCGUGCGGGAUGACGGCCUUCGGGUUGUAAACCGCUUUCGCCUGUGACGAAGCGUGAGUGACGGUAAUGGGUAAAGAAGCACCGGCUAACUACGUG